UACGUAGGGUGCGAGCGUUAAUCGGAAUUACUGGGCGUAAAGCGUGCGCAGGCGGUUUUGUAAGCCAGAUGUGAAAUCCCCGGGCUCAACCUGGGAAUGGCAUUUGGGACUGCAAGGCUGGAGUGCGGCAGAGGAGACUGGAAUUCCUGGUGUAGCAGUGAAAUGCGUAGAUAUCAGGAGGAACAUCAGUGGCGAAGGCGGCCUUCUGGUCCAGUACUGACACUCAAGUGCGAAAGCGUGGGGAGCAAACAGG
rnacentral:rRNA from 1 species